AGAGUUUGAUCAUGGCUCAGAACGAACGCUGGCGGCGUGGAUAAGACAUGCAAGUCGAGCGAGAUUUUUUCUUGUAGCAAUACGAGGAAAAGUCUAGCGGCGAACGGGUGCUUAACACGUGGGCAACCUGCCAUGAAGUGGGGGAUAGCUCGUCGAAAGGCGAAUUAAUACCGCAUGUGAUUAGAGUGGACAUCUAUUCAAAAUUAAAGUCGGGGCAACCUGACGCUUCUUGUGGGGCCCGCGGCCUAUCAGCUAGUUGGUGAGGUAACGGCCCACCAAGGCUUUGACGGGUAGCUGGUCUGAGAGGACGACCAGCCACACUGGGACUGAGACACGGCCCAGACACCUACGGGUGGCAGCAGUCGAGAAUUUUUGACAAUGGGGGAAACCCUGAUCGAGCGACGCCGCGUGGAGGAUGAAGGUCUUCGGAUUGUAAACUCCUGUCAUUGGGGAACAAUGCACAGAUAUUAACUGUAUUUGUGUUGAUAGUACCCGAAGAGGAAGGGACGGCUAACUCUGUGCCAGCAGCCGCGGUAAUACAGAGGUCCCAAGCGUUGUUCGGAUUCAUUGGGCGUAAAGGGUGCGUAGGCGGCGCGGUAAGUCGGGUGUGAAAUCUCGGGGCUUAACUCCGAAACUGCAUUCGAUACUGCCGUGCUUGAGGACUGGAGAGGAGACUGGAAUUUACGGUGUAGCGGUGAAAUGCGUAGAUAUCGUAAGGAAGACCAGUGGCGAAGGCGGGUCUCUGGACAGUUCCUGACGCUGAGGCACGAAGGUCAGGGGAGCAAACGGGAUUAGAUACCCCUGUAGUCC
rnacentral:rRNA from 1 species